rnacentral:rRNA from 1 species
UACAGAGGUCUCAAGCGUUGUUCGGAUUCAUUGGGCGUAAAGGGUGUGUAGGCGGCGCCGUAAGUCGGGUGUGAAAUUUCGGAGCUUAACUCCGAAACUGCAUUCGAUACUGCGGUGCUUGAGGACUGGAGAGGAGACUGGAAUUCAUGGUGUAGCAGUGAAAUGCGUAGAGAUCAUGAGGAAGACCAGUGGCGAAGGCGGGUCUCUGGACAGUUCCUGACACUGAGGCACGAAGGCCAGGGGAGCAAACGGG